rnacentral:lncRNA from 1 species
UUUUAAAAUUGUGAACCAAUUAUUUAUCUGAUAAAAUCCGACUUUGAUUGGGUUUCUCCAUGAAAUUUGUAGGCCCAAAUGUGUACGUAAGUUUAGGCUUUUGAAUCACCUUAUUUGGACAUCAGAAGCCCAAGUUAUGGUCAAUCCAAGAAAGUUGGUUCAAUCUCAUAUUGGGCUGGUGUAACUUACACUUGAGUUAAUGUGACUAAGCUUUGCUUUAUGUUAUUUAGCCCAAGCCCAAUACAUGCUUCCUUGUUGCAUUCUUGAAUUUUGUCAAUGCCAUUCCACAAGCCUUGAAUCAUUCCGUUGAAUACGUCCUUGAAUUUCUUCAACCUCACUCUUGUAAUCGGACCAUUAGGUAGCUGAAUUGGAUCCAUGUUCGUGUAUCUUGCCUUAUUUGCAUCGAAGUUUCUAAAGCAUCCAGUUCUAGCAAAGAUAAGGGUAAGCUUGACUCUACUACUAAUUCAAGAAAUAAUAAAUGUUUCAAGUGUAGGCCAAUUGUGGA